rnacentral:rRNA from 1 species
GACAGAGGGUGCAAACGUUGUUCGGAAUUACUGGGCGUAAAGCGCGUGUAGGCGGCUAAGUAAGUCGGGCGUGAAAUCCCACGGCUCAACCGUGGAAGUGCACUCGAAACUGCAUAGCUAGAGUCCUGGAGAGGAAGGUGGAAUGCUUGGUGUAGAGGUGAAAUUCGUAGAUAUCAAGCGGAACACCGGUGGCGAAGGCGGCCUUCUGGACACUUACUGACGCUGAGACGCGAAAGCGUGGGGAGCAAACAGGG